rnacentral:sRNA from 1 species
ACAAAAAAGCAAAAAAAAAC